rnacentral:misc_RNA from 1 species
CCCAUAUCCAACGGUGGUCAUAGUCACAACACAGAAAUAUAGAGCAUCAAGAAUUGGACUUGUUUUCUUCCCUUUGAGAUCACCUAUGGCAAAGUAAAAGCAUAAGGUGCCAACACCCAAAUAGACCGCCAAGAUCACAGCCACUUCCCUAAAACUGCUGUGGAGUUUCCCAAAAAUGGAUUCAGCACUAGGAGGUUUGCCGCCAAAUUCUGAUGAAACAAACUUGGCUAGAGGAGCACUUUUAAUAUUGA